ensembl:lncRNA
CGCGGGGCGCGGCGCAUGCGUGCUCGCGCGUGCGGAGCGACUUCGAGCGGCGAGCGUCGCCACGACGACGUGACCUUUGGUCCCUCUGUGGUCGACGAAGAAAAGAGGACGCCCAACGAGGAGGAGAACUGCUGCGGAGGCCGGCCUGCCAGCGAGGCCAUGGAGAGGAGCAGCGAGGCAGAGGAAAAAGCCAAGUGUGAGCUUCUGGGGAGCAGCGGAACCCCAAGGUACCUCCAGGACCCUGAAGGAGCCGUGUUCGCGUUCCCGGCAGAGGGGCCCGUUCCGGAGAGGCCCUGGGCCGGCGACGGCGUGACCUACGUCAACAUCCCCAUCAGCCCCACGUCCAAGAAGCAGCUCAACUACAUGGAGCUCGAGAUCCAGGAGACUGGGGCCCCGGGGUUCAGGGACCCCGGCGCGCUCCUCCCAGCCCAGAGUAAGCUCCCGUGUUGGGGGAAGGAAUCUUGGUGUCUGCGCUGG